rnacentral:rRNA from 1 species
UACGGGGGGGGCAAGCGUUGUUCGGAAUUACUGGCGUAAAGGGCUCGUAGGCGGCCAACUAAGUCGGAUGUGAAAUCCCCAGGCUUAACCUGGGAACUGCAUCCGAUACUGGAUGGCUUGAAUCCGGGAGAGGGAUGCAGAAUUCCAGGUGUAGCGGUGAAAUGCGUAGAUAUCUGGAGGAAUACCGGUGGCGAAGGCGGCAUCCUGGACCGGCAUUGACGCUGAUGAGCGAAAGCUAGGGAGCAAACGGGG